GCCAAGGCUANNNNNNNNNNNNNNAAAUUCAACUAACACUAGAAAAUAAAAUAAAACAUUCAGUCACCCUUAAAAGUAUAGGAGAUAGAAAUUUAACUUUGGAGCUAUAGAGAAAGUACCGUAAGGGAAUGAUGAAAGAAAUAUUAUAAAGCACAGCACAGCAAAGAUUACCCCUUGUACCUUUUGCAUAAUGAAUUAGCCAGAACUAAUCUAACAAAGAGAUCUAUAGCUAGAUCCCCCGAAACCAGACGAGCUACCCAUGAGCAAUCUUCUACAGGAUGAACUCAUCUAUGUUGCAAAAUAGUGAGAAGACUUCUGGGUAGAGGUGAAAUGCCUAACGAGCCUGGUGAUAGCUGGUUACCCAGAACAGAAUUUUAGUUCAACUUUAAACUUACCUUAAAAACCCNNNNNNNNNNNNNNNNUUUAAAAUAUAAUCUAAAAAGGUACAGCUUUUUAGAAUUAGGAUACAGCCUUCCUUAGAGAGUAAGCAAACACACUAUUCCAUAGUAGGCCUAAAAGCAGCCACCAAUUAAGAAAGCGUUCAAGCUCAACAACUAACCCAUCUUAAUACCAAAAAUUUAAAGCUAACUCCUAAUCCAAUACUGGGUUAAUCUAUAAUCUUAUAGAAGCAACAAUGCUAGUAUGAGUAACAAGAAUUAUUUUCUCCCUGCAUAAACUUAUAUCAGAACGGAUAUCCACUGAUAGUUAACAACAAGAUAUAUAUAGCCCACCCAUAAACUAAUAUCAAACCAAUUGUUAACCCAACACAGGCAUGCAUAUAAGGAAAGAUUAAAAGAAGUAAAASGAACUCGGCAAACACGAGCCCCGCCUGUUUACCAAAAACAUCACCUCUAGCAUAUCUAGUAUUAGAGGCACUGCCUGCCCAGUGACACUAGUUAAACGGCCGCGGUAUCCUGAYCGUGCAAAGGUAGCAUAAUCACUUGUUCCCUAAAUAGGGACUCGUAUGAAUGGCCACACGAGGGCUUUACUGUCUCUUACUUNNNNNNNNUGAAAUUGACCUUCCCGUGAAGAGGMGGGAAUAAUUAAAUAAGACGAGAAGACCCUAUGGAGCUUUAAUUAACUAACUCAAAGAGAUCUUAUCAAUCAACCAUCAUGGGACAAUCUACCUCUAUAUGAGUUAGCAAUUUAGGUUGGGGUGACCUCGGAAUACAAAACAACCUCCGAGUGAUUUAAAUCUAGACUAACCAGUCAAAAGCAUCACAUCACUUAUUGAUCCAAAAAGCUUGAUCAACGGAACAAGUUACCCUAGGGAUAACAGCGCAAUCCUAUUUCAGAGUUCAUAUCRACAAUAGGGUUUACGACCUCGAUGUUGGAUCAGGACAUCCCGAUGGUGCAGCMGCUAUYAAAGGUUCGUUUGUUCAACGAUUAAWGUCCUACGUGAUCUGAGUUCAGACCGGAGYAAUCCAGGUCGGUUUCUAUCUAUUAAAUAAUUUCUCCCAGUACGAAAGGACAAGAGAAAUAAGGCCCACUCUACUAGAGCGCCUUCAACUAAAUAGAUGAUAUAAUCUUAAUCUAGAUAAUUCAUCCAACAAAAAUACCCAUAGAACCCGGGUUU
rnacentral:rRNA from 1 species